rnacentral:rRNA from 1 species
AGCAGUCGCCGCGGGAAUACAGAGGGUGCGAGCGUUAAUCGGAUUUACUGGGCGUAAAGCGUGCGUAGGCGGCUUUUUAAGUCGGAUGUGAAAUCCCUGAGCUUAACUUAGGAAUUGCAUUCGAUACUGGGAAGCUAGAGUAUGGGAGAGGAUGGUAGAAUUCCAGGUGUAGCGGUGAAAUGCGUAGAGAUCUGGAGGAAUACCGAUGGCGAAGGCAGCCAUCUGGCCUAAUACUGACGCUGAGGUACGAAAGCAUGGGGAGCAAACAGGAUUAGAGACCCGUGUAGUCCCUGUCUCUUAUAC